GAUGAACGCUGGCGGCGUGCCUAAUACAUGCAAGUCGAGCGAACAGACGAAGAGCUUGCUCCUCUGCCGUUAGCGGCGGACGGGUGAGUAACACGUGGCUAACCUACCUAUAAGACUGGGAUAACUUCGGGAAACCGGAGCUAAUACCGGAUAACAUGUUGAACCGCAUGGUUUAACAGUGAAAGCCGGACUUGCUGUCACUUAUAGAUGGAUCCGCGCCGCAUUAGCUAGUUGGUAAGGUAACGGCUUACCAAGGCAACGAUGCGUAGCCGACCUGGGAGGGUGAUCGGCCACACUGGAACUGAGACACGGUCCAGACUCCUACGGGAGGCAGCAGUAGGGAAUCUUCCGCAAUGGGCGAAAGCCUGACGGAGCAACGCCGCGUGAGUGAAGAAGGUCUUCGGAUCGUAAAACUCUGUUAUUAGGGAAGAACAAAUGUGUAAGUAACUAUGCACGUCUUGACGGUACCUAAUCAGAAAGCCACGGCUAACUACGUG
rnacentral:rRNA from 1 species